rnacentral:rRNA from 1 species
AACGAACGCUGGCGGCAUGCCUAACACAUGCAAGUCGAACGAGAUCUUCGGGUCUAGUGGCGCACGGGUGCGUAACGCGUGGGAAUCUGCCCUUUGGUUCGGAAUAACAGUUGGAAACGACUGCUAAUACCGGAUGAUGACGAAAGUCCAAAGAUUUAUCGCCAGAGGAUGAGCCCGCGUAGGAUUAGCUAGUUGGUGUGGUAAAGGCGCACCAAGGCGACGAUCCUUAGCUGGUCUGAGAGGAUGAUCAGCCACACUGGGACUGCGACACGGCCCAGACUCCUACGGGGGGCAGAAGUGGGGAAUAUUGGACAAUGGGCGAAAGCCUGAUCCAGCAAUGCCGCGUGAGUGAUGAAGGCCUUAGGGUUGUAAAGCUAGUUUACCCGGGAUGAUAAUGACAGUACCGGGAGAAUAAGCUCCGGCUAACUCCGUGCCAGCCGCCGCCGUAA